AACGAACGCUGGCGGCAUGCCUAACACAUGCAAGUCGAACGAGACCUUCGGGUCUAGUGUCGCACGGGUGCGUAACGCGUGGGAACCUGCCCUUAGGUUCGGACUAACUCCCCGAAAGGGGUGCUAAUACCGGAUAAUGUCUUCGGCCCAAAGAUUUAUCGCCUUUGGAUGGGCCCGCGUUGGAUUAGCUAGUUGUUAGGGUAAAAGCCUACCAAGGCGACGAUCCAUAGCUGGUUUGAGAGGAUGAUCAGCCACACUGAGACUGAGACACGGCCCAGACUCCUACGGGAGGAAGCAGUGGGGAAUAGUGGACAAUGGGCGAAAGCAUGAACCAGCAAUGCCGGGUGAGUGAUGAAGGCAUUAGGGUUGUAAAGCGCUUUUAACCGGGAUGAUAAUGACAGUACCGGGAGAAUAAGCUCCGGCUAACUCCGUG
rnacentral:rRNA from 1 species